ACAAGAUUAAAGAAAUGGUACAUCUUACAUAGCAUUGAGCCAAGCUUAUUACCAUAACUAAAUGCAGCACCAUCUCACUAGCAACGUUCACAUUUUUUAACAAAUUGUCUGCAUUUGUUAUGUUUGAAGUGUGCCCUCCACCAACGGUUGUUUUCAGCUCCUGCUGUGUGUUUUGGAAGUUCUGGCUCAAGUCCUGUCCAGCGUUUCUAGUUGAACCAUUCCAUGAAGGUUUUUCUGCAUUUGUUGUUUCUGGAAGACUCACAACCUUCACACAGGCAGUUGUUGUUUCUGGAAGACUCACAACCUUCACACAGGCAGUUGUUGUUUCUGGAAGACUCACAACCUUCACACAGGCAGUUGUUGUCUCUGGAAGACUCACAACCUUCACACAGGCAAUUGUUAUUUCUGGAAGACUCACAACCUUCACACAGGCAAUUGUUAUUUCUGGAAGACUCACAACCUUCACACAGGCAGUUGUUGUCUCUGGAAGACUCACAACCUUCACACAGGCAGUUGUUGUCUCUGGAAGACUCAACCUUCACACAGGCAGUUGUUGUUUCUGGAAGACUCACAACCUUCACACAGACAGUUGUUGUUUCUGGAAGACUCACAACCUUCACACAGGCAAUUGUUGUUUCUGGAAGACUCACAACCUUCACACAGGCAAUUGUUGUUUCUGGAAGACUCACAACCUUCACACAGGCAGUUGUUGUUUGAACACUUGUUUGAACAUUGCCCUCCCAAUCACACUGACAAUCCUAUGUCAACCCAGCAAACAUGAAAAUCCCACUGCUGAAGGAGGCACAGAAAAGACUGAUCGAACCUCCCGAAAAUCCACUCAAAAAGGUAUACAAAAACGGUGGGUAAAACCUCUGUGGACACUUUGGCAAUACAGACAAGUGCUGUGUUUACCGAACACCAAAUGUAGCACCCAUUUGAAAAGAAACAGCCUCUCCUCAAAGACAGCUGAUGGUCACGUUUGCUGCUCUGUGGGCUUGGCUGAGCUGCCCCAAACGUUUGCAAGGUGUCAUAAAGUCAGCACACAACUGGUAGUCCAAUGCUUAACCCAAGACAAAGAUGUACAGAGAAGACAUACUGUGUACCAUCAACAUGACUCGCAUACCUCUAUUCCCACCCACACCAUCCCAUCCAGGAGUUUGCUUUAGUAAGCUUAUAGCGUACUGUAUAGUCUAGAGUUAACCGGUCCUUGUUGACCACAUUCUGGCAAUUCAUAAACAACCAAUGAAAUAGCAAUAGCAGAUGAGGAGAACAGUUACAAAACAUAACAGUAUGUCAACUUUACAUACAUGAUACAUGCAUAACAUUAUGUCAACUUUACAUACAUUAAUGUAAUACAGCCCUCGGUACUAUUCCUGUAAAUGGAUCUCAUUAGAAACAAACACAUUAAUGUUUUA
rnacentral:lncRNA from 1 species